UACGAAGGGGCUAGCGUUGCUCGGAAUCACUGGGCGUAAAGCGCACGUAGGCGGCUUUUUAAGUCAGAGGUGAAAUCCUGGAGCUCAACUCCAGAACUGCCUUUGAUACUGGAGAGCUUGAGUCCGGGAGAGGUGAGUGGAACUGCGAGUGUAGAGGUGAAAUUCGUAGAUAUUCGCAAGAACACCAGUGGCGAAGGCGGCUCACUGGCCCGGUACUGACGCUGAGGUGCGAAAGCGUGGGGAGCAAACAGG
rnacentral:rRNA from 1 species